rnacentral:tRNA from 1 species
UAGCUCAGUGGUAGAGCACUGGUCUCGUAAACCAGGGGUCGUGAGUUCAAUCCUCUC